rnacentral:tRNA from 1 species
GGAGGGAUGGCCGAGCGGUUUAAGGCGCUGGUCUCGAAAACCAGUGGGGUCUUUUUGGCCCUCGUGGGUUCGAAUCCCACUCCCUCCGCCA